rnacentral:rRNA from 1 species
CACGUAGGGGCCAAGCGUUGUCCGGAUUUAUUGGGCGUAAAGAGCUCGUAGGCGGUUGGGUAAGUCGGGUGUGAAAACUCUGGGCUCAACUCAGAGACGCCACCCGAUACUGCUCUGACUUGAGUCCGGUAGGGGAGUGGGGAAUUCCUGGUGUAGCGGUGAAAUGCGCAGAUAUCGGAAGGAACACCGGUGGCGAAAGCGGCACGCUGGGCCUCUUCUGACGCUGAGGCGCGAAAGCCAGGGGAGCAAACGGG